UACGUAGGGGGGCGAGCGUUGUCCGAAGUUACUGGGCGUAAAGCGCGCGUAGGCGGGUUGGCAAGUCUGCUGUGAAAGCCCGGAGCUUAACUCCGGAGGGUCGGUGGAUACUGCCAGUCUUGAAGGUGCUAGGGAGAGAUGGAAUUACAGGUGUAGCGGUGAAAUGCGUAGAUAUCUGUAAGAACACCAGUGGCGAAGGCGGUCUCUUGGGGCAUUCUUGACGCUGAGGCGCGAAAGCUGGGGGGAGCGAACGGG
rnacentral:rRNA from 1 species